rnacentral:rRNA from 1 species
UACGUAGGCGGCUAGCGUAGUUCGGAAUUACUGGGCGUAAAGCGCACGUAGGCGGAUUAGUAAGUCAGGGGUGAAAUCCCGGGGCUCAACCUCGGAACUGCCUUUGAUACUGCUGAUCUCGAGUCCGGAAGAGGUGAGUGGAAUUCCUAGUGUAGAGGUGAAAUUCGUAGAUAUUAGGAAGAACACCAGUGGCGAAGGCGGCUCGCUGGUCCGGUACUAACGCUGAGGUGCGAAAGCGUGGGGAGCAAACAGG